rnacentral:rRNA from 1 species
UUUUUUAUUUACGUCUGACCUGCCCACUGAUUUAUUUAAUGGCCGCGGUAUUUUGACCGUGCAAAGGUAGCAUAAUAAUUUGUCUUUUAAUUGAAGGCUUGUAUGAAUGGUUGGACGAGAAAGCAACUUUCUUUAUAAUAAAAUGAUUAAUUUUAUUUUUUAGUUAAAAAGCUAAAAUGUUGUUGUAGGACGAGAAGACCCUAUAGAACUUUAUAAUUAUUUAUAUAUUAAUAUUUUUAGUUAAUAAUAUAUUGUAUUUUUAUAAUUAUUUUGUUGGGGCGACAAGAAAAUUUAUUUAACUUUUUUUCACCAAUUUCAUUAAUUAAUGUAUAAAUGAUCCUUUAUUAAAGAUAAUUAGAAUAAGUUACCUUAGGGAUAACAGCGUAAUUUUUUUGGAGAGUUCUUAUCGAUAAAAAAGUUUGCGA